ACUUAUACAAGCAUACACAUACAUACAUAUAUAUGUAUGUAUGUAGUUACAUAUGUAUAUGCUUCUUGCAUUGGAAUACUUAUGGAUGAAUGGACAUUUGGUCGGAUGGAUACAAAGUAUGUGGGGUAGAUGAAAAAAUGGUUGGUUGAAUAGUUGGAAGAAUGACUGAUCGUGAUUGCGUAUGGUUUGUUGCUCUGAAGCUGCUGCUGCUCGACUAGCCUAUCAAAGUACUUAAAAGAUUUCAUGACCAACAGACGGCUGCUUCCCUAUUCUUUCCUGCCUGCAAAAGAUUGACGAAUUGCCAUUGGUAAACUAUUCUUAUGCUAUCCCUAAUAUUUUUAUUUUCCUCACAAUACAAAUUGUUUAACGCUUUAAGACUACGAUAUUUAUAAUGCUACGCUAAUAGACUCUAUUUAUGAAACUUUACCAUAUACAGCGGAAUUUCGAUAUGUCAUACGGUUAACCAACUAAACCACACACGUACCACAUAUGUAUUUUAACCACGAGCUCAGUUUGCACAAUAAAAAUAUUUGAUUUGCCUACAUACACAUAUAUACAACA
rnacentral:misc_RNA from 1 species